rnacentral:lncRNA from 10 species
CGCCCGGCCGGGCCGGGGAAGAGGGCGCGGCAGGAACAGGAAGAGCCCGGCGCAAUCCCAGGUCCCGACCCGCCCCCUGCGAGCGCCCGAGGCCGGCGCGGGAGGACCCUGCGCGCUGGACUUCACCCUGGUUCCAGGCACCUCCUUCGGUCUCCAGGGCCGGCAAUGCGCUGGGGAGUUGAAAAGCGCUGCCUUCCUCCAGGCUUUCCUGGAAAGAAACGCUUCAUGGCAGUCUUGAAGACAGCAGCCUGCAUUCUCAGUCUGGGAACCUACUCCUUUAGUCCCUGCUUCCAGAGGAAGAAAUUCUGAAAGAAUUGCGUUUGCCUGUUUUGAGCCUGCGGGUUACCUAAAGGACUGACACAAGACAUUGGUCUUUGCUUUCCCUAACUUGGAACAGGGCAGAGAGGUGUCUCUUCAGAGGGUAUUGCUCAAAAAACUUGUAAGGCAAAUAAUCUGCAGCCACCUGGGGCAAAAGAUUUCAGUUGAAGCAAACAGACACACCAACAGCCUGAGAGGAAAAGCUGGGAGAAAGUUUCUUUUGGAAAUUUGGGCAUUCAACAAUGUCCACUUAUACUAAGGUUAGGAAUUUAGAAAGUCAUGCAUAUAUGCCCAGGGCAGGAAGCAUGCUCAGAAAAGAUCUGAAAAGACCCUUUAGCUGAACUUUCGGCUCAGCACAAGCAGGAAAUGAGGCUACAGUAGAGUUGUAAACAGCAGGGCUAAGCAACCACAGUGUCCCCCAACACAGCCAUUCUGCAAAGACUGGGAGAAGGUGGUUGUCCUCCUUUCUGUCUACUCUUUUUUGGGGGAUGGUGGAGGGAAGCUCUAGGUAUUCAAAAAAGUCUGUCAAAACACUAGUGGUGGCUCAGCCUAUAAUCCCAGUGACUCAGGUGGGAGGAUCACUUGAGCAAAGGAGUUCAAGGCUACAGUGAGUUAUGAUGCCCCUGCACUGUAGCCUGAGUGACAGAGUGAGACCCCAUCUCUAAAAAACAAAAAACAAAGUGUCGGGCGUGGUAGCUUACGCCUAUAAUCCCAGCACUUUGAGAGGCUGAGGCCAGUGGAUCACCUGAGGUCAGGAGUUCAAGACCAGCCUGGCCAACAUGGCGAAACCCCAUCUCUACUAAAAAUACAAAAAUUAGCCAGGCAUAGUGGCACACACCACUAGUCCCAGCUACUCAGGAGGCUGACGCAGGAGAAUUGCUUGAACCCGAGAGGUGGAGGUUGCAGUGAGCUGAGAUCGCGCCACUGCAUCCUGGCCUGGGUGACAGAGCAAGACUCCAUCUCAAAAAAACAAAAAACAAACAAACAAAGCAUCAGCUGAACACAGGCUAAGAAAGAGACUUUAGAGAACAAACACAACAAAGAACACAGAAUUUAGAAAGAGUUUAGAACACUCACUAAACAACUACAACUCAUAGCAAACAACAAAAACUCAGAAGGAAGGGUCUGAUUUCCGGAGUCACAUUAUAAUAUUCAAAACCUCCAGUUUUCAACAAAAUGUUACAAAGCAUGUGAAGAAAUAAAAACAGUAUGGUACAUACACAGGAGAAAUUAACACAAAGAGUCUGAGAAGAAGAACAGACACUGGACUUACUAGACAAAGAUUUUAAAUCAACUGUCUUAAAUGUGUUCAGUGAGCUAAUGGAAAUGAUGGACAAAGAACAAGAAGCCUGGGUAACAUAGCAAGACCCCCUUUCUAAAAGGAAUAAAAAUAAAUUAGCCAGGCAUGGUGGCACUUCUCCCAAGCUACUUGGGAGGCUGAGGUGGGAGAAUUACUUGACCCUGCAAGGUCAAGGCUGCAGUGAGCCAUGAUUACACCACUGCUCUCCAGCCUGGGCAAUAGAGCAAGACCCUGUCUCAAAAAAAAAAAAAAAAAAAAGGAAAAGAAAAAGGAAAAAGAAUGACAAGAAACCAGGAGAACAAUGUCUCAACAAACAGAAAACCAACAAAGAGACAGAAAUUAUAAAAAAGAAUCAAAUAGAUAUCCUGGAGCUGAAACAUACAAUAACUAAAACAAACAAAAAAAAAACUUCACUAGAGGAUUUCAGUGGCAGAUUUGAACUGAUAGAACAAUCAGCCAACUUGAAGAUAGGUCAGUUGAAUUUAUCCAGUCUGAAGAACAGAAAGAAAAAAGAAGGAAGGGAAAUCAACAGAGUCUAAGAUGCCUAUGGAACACCAUCAAGCAUACCAACAUACAUAUAACUGGAGUCAUAGAGGCAAGAGAGGAAAGGGAAAGAAUAUUUGAAGAAAUAAUGACAGAAAACUUCCCAAAUUUGAUAUGACACAAAUCUAAACAUCCAAGAAGCUCAAUACACUUCAAGAAAAAUAAAGGGAUCCACACCAAGACAUUUUGUAAUCAAACUGUCAAAUGACAAAAAGAAUCUUGAAAGCAGCAAGAAAGUAGUGACUUGGAUAAGCACCAUGGCUCAAGCCUAUAAUCCCAACACUUUGGGAGGCCAAGGCAGGAGGAUCACUUGAAUCCAGGAGUUUGAGACCAGCCUGGGAAACGUAAGGAGACCUCAUGUCUACAAAUAAUUUAAAAAUUAUCCAAGUGUGGGGGUACACGCCUGUGGUCCCAGCUACUCAGGAGGCUGAGGAAGGAGGAUCAGCUGAGCCUGGGAGGUCAAGGCUGCAAUGAGCCAUGAUCGCGCCACUGGACUUCAGCCUGGGGACAAAACAAGACCAGGCCUCAAAAGGAAAAGAAAGUGGUUCAUCAUGUAAAAGGGGUCCUCGAUAAGAUUAACAGCUGAUUGGGAGGCCAGGGUGGGCAGAUCACAAUGUCAGGAGCUCGAGACCGGCCUGACCAACAUGGCGAAACCCUGCCUCUACUAAAACUACAAAAAUUAGGCCGGGCACGUGGCUCAAGCCUGUAAUCCCAGCACUUUGGGAAGCCGAGGCGGGCAGAUCACCUGAGGUCAAGAGUUCGAGACCAGCCUCAACAUGGAGAAACCCUGUCUCUACUAAAAAUACAAAAUUAGCCGGGCAUGGUGGUGCAUGCCUGUAAUCCCAGCUACUCGGGAGGCUGAGGCAGGAGAAUUACUUGAACCUGGGAGGCAGAGGUUGCGGUGAGCCAAGAUCGCACCAUUGCACUCCAGCCUGGGCAACAAGAGCGAAGCUCCGUCUCAAAAAAAAAAAAAAAAAAAAAUUAGCCAGGUGUAGUGGCGCACACUUGUAAUCCCAGCUACUCAGGAGGCUGAGGCAGGAGAAUCGCUUGAACCUGGGAGAUGGAGUUUGCAGUAAGCCAAGAUUGCGCCCCUGCACUCCAGCCUGGCAGACAGUGUGAGAUGCCAUCUCCAAAAAAAAAAAAAUUUUUAAAUUAGCAAGGUGCAGUGGUGUGUGCCUAUAGUCCCAGCUACUCAGGAGGCUGAGGCAGGAGGAUCACUUGAGCCCAGGAGUUCAAGGCUAUAGUGAGCUAUGAUCACACCACUGCACUCCAGCCUGGGCAACAGAGCAAGACCCUAUCUCUUAAAUUUCAGCACUUUGGGAGGCUGAGGUGGGCAGGUCAUGAGGUCAAGAGAUCAAGACCAACCUGGCCAACAUGGUGAAACCCUGACUCUACUAAAAAUACAAAAAUUAGCUGGGCAUGGUGGCACGCGCCUAUAGUCCCAGCUACUCAGGAGGCUGAGGCAGGAGAAUCACUUGAACCCAGAAGGCGGAGGUUGCAGUGAGCCGAGUUCGCACCACUGCACUCCAGCCUGGCAACGGAGCUAGACUCCAUCUCCAAAAAAAAGAAAGAAAGAAACAAAAGAAAAGAAGAAAGAACUGUGAAAGGACAGAAAAACUUAUAACUUUUAGAAAUAUAUAUACACCUAAGAACAGAGCCUCCUGCAAAAGGUGACAGAAUUAAAAGGAGAAAUAGUUCAAAAACAGCUGGAGUCUUCGAUACCCUACUUCCUUUACUUCUUUCUUUCUUUUUUUUUUUUU